rnacentral:rRNA from 1 species
GACGAACCGAGCGAACGUUGUUCGGAAUCACUGGGCUUAACGGGCGCGUAGGCGGGUGCUCAAGUCCGUGGUGAAAUCCUCCGGCUCAACCGGAGAACUGCCUCGGAUACUGGGCGUCUCGAGUGUGGUAGGGGUAUGCGGAACUAUCGGUGGAGCGGUGAAAUGCGUUGAUAUCGAUAGGAACUCCGGUGGCGAAGGCGGCAUACUGGACCACCACUGACGCUGAUGCGCGAAAGCCAGGGGAGCAAACGGG